GAAAUGCGAUAACUAGUGUGAAUUGCAGAAUUCCGUGAAUCAUCGAGUCUUUGAACGCACAUUGCGCCCCCUGGUAUUCCGGGGGGCAUGCCUGUCCGAGCGUCAUUGCUGCCCAUCAAGCACGGCUUGAGUGUUGGGUCGUCGUCCCCUCUCCGGGGGGGACGGGCCCCAAAGGCAGCGGCGGCACCGCGUCCGAUCCUCGAGCGUAUGGGGCUUUGUCACCCGCUCUGUAGGCCCGGCCGGCGCUUGCCGAACGCAAAUCAAUCUUUUUCCAGGUUGACCUCGGAUCAGGUAGGGAUACCCGCUGAACUUAAGC
rnacentral:misc_RNA from 1 species